ACGAACUCUGGUAUUGAUUGGUGCUUGCAUCAUGAUUUACAUUUGAGUGAGUGGCGAACUGGUGAGUAACACGUGGGAAACCUGCCCAGAAGCGGGGGAUAACACCUGGAAACAGAUGCUAAUACCGCAUAACAACUUGGACCGCAUGGUCCGAGCUUGAAAGAUGGCUUCGGCUAUCACUUUUGGAUGGUCCCGCGGCGUAUUAGCUAGAUGGUGGGGUAACGGCUCACCAUGGCAAUGAUACGUAGCCGACCUGAGAGGGUAAUCGGCCACAUUGGGACUGAGACACGGCCCAAACUCCUACGGGAGGCAGCAGUAGGGAAUCUUCCACAAUGGACGAAAGUCUGAUGGAGCAACGCCGCGUGAGUGAAGAAGGGUUUCGGCUCGUAAAACUCUGUUGUUAAAGAAGAACAUAUCUGAGAGUAACUGUUCAGGUAUUGACGGUAUUUAACCAGAAAGCCACGGCUAACUACGUGCCAGCAGCCGCGGUAAUACGUAGGUGGCAAGCGUUGUCCGGAUUUAUUGGGCGUAAAGCGAGCGCAGGCGGUUUUUUAAGUCUGAUGUGAAAGCCUUCGGCUCAACCGAAGAAGUGCAUCGGAAACUGGGAAACUUGAGUGCAGAAGAGGACAGUGGAACUCCAUGUGUAGCGGUGAAAUGCGUAGAUAUAUGGAAGAACACCAGUGGCGAAGGCGGCUGUCUGGUCUGUAACUGACGCUGAGGCUCGAAAGUAUGGGUAGCA
rnacentral:rRNA from 1 species